GCCGGUGAUGAUAGUUUUAAUAUGGUUGACAGAAAUGCAAUAUGUUCAGAAAAUCAUGAACUAGGACGGUCUGAGGC